rnacentral:rRNA from 1 species
UGGGGAAUAUUGGACAAUGGGCGCAAGCCUGAUCCAGCCAUGCCGCGUGAGUGAUGAGGCCUUAGGGUUGUAAAGCUCUUUCACCGGAGAAGAUAAUGACGGUAUCCGGAGAAGAAGCCCCGGCUAACUUCGUGCCAG